rnacentral:rRNA from 1 species
CGUAGGGUGCAAGCGUUAAUCGGAAUUACUGGGCGUAAAGCGUGCGCAGGCGGUUGUGCAAGACAGGUGUGAAAUCCCCGGGCUUAACCUGGGAACUGCACUUGUGACUGCACGGCUGGAGUACGGCAGAGGGGGAUGGAAUUCCGCGUGUAGCAGUGAAAUGCGUAGAUAUGCGGAGGAACACCGAUGGCGAAGGCAGUCCCCUGGGCCUGUACUGACGCUCAUGCACGAAAGCGUGGGGAGCAAACAGGAUUAGAUACCCUGGUAGUCCACGCCCUAAACGAUGUCAACUGGUUGUUGGGAAGGUUUCUUCUCAGUAACGUAGCUAACGCGUGAAGUUGACCGCCUGGGGAGUACGGCCGCAAGGUUG